UGAGGAAUAUUGGUCAAUGGGCGAGAGCCUGAACCAGCCAAGUAGCGUGCAGGAUGACGGCCCUAUGGGUUGUAAACUGCUUUUAUGCGGGGAUAAAGUGCGUGACGUGUCAUGCAUUGCAGGUACCGCAUGAAUAAGGACCGGCUAAUUCCGUGCCAGCAGCCGCGGUAAUACGGAAGGUCCGGGCGUUAUCCGGAUUUAUUGGGUUUAAAGGGAGCGUAGGCUGUCUAUUAAGCGUGUUGUGAAAUUUACCGGCUCAACCGGUGGCUUGCAGCGCGAACUGGUCGACUUGAGUAUGCAGGAAGUAGGCGGAAUUCAUGGUGUAGCGGUGAAAUGCUUAGAUAUCAUGACGAAUUCCGAUUGCGCAGGCAGCUUACUGUAGCAUAACUGACGCUGAUGCUCGAAAGUGCGGGUAUCAAACAGG
rnacentral:rRNA from 1 species